AGCCUGCUGUGCGGAGCUGGGGGAGGAGGAGGGAGCCCUGGGGGACAGACAGAAGGACCAUCGAAGGAGAAACCCUGCUGGCCUCGGGACCUGGAGGAAAGAACCAGGGCCCGUGCUCCUUGGGCCAGGAUCCGGCGAUUGGACGGAACCUCUCGGAUUCCCCAGUGCUGUGAAAUCCACUUGGGGCCAUCACACCCUUCAUUGCUGUGCUCCCUGGCAGAACUCGAAUGCAGCGUGAGCUGGGCACUUUUCCCAGGGUUUGCUCUAGGUCUGGGUCUCCCAUCAGCUCCCCCGGAGCAGAGCCUGAGGCAAGGAUUCUUGUUCGGGGGCAUCUUCCUCUCAGCACCGUGCUUUGGGAAUCGAGUGAUGGUGCUGAGUGAACCCCUGAGUGAACAUCUGUGGCUUCCUCCCACCUCGUCUCUGGAUGCACUCCUGUUCGAAUGGGUGUCUGUACAUGCUUGUCCCCUCCCCACGGUGGCGUGCUCAAUGGUGGCUCCCCACAGAUAUGUCCGUGUCCUAAUUCCCGGAGCCUUUGGGUCUCAUGUAGCCAAUGAUGUGAAAAAGUGAAGGAUGCUGAGAGGAGAUCAUCCAGAUGUCUUAGAGGAUAAAAAUGAGCGGGCAGAUGAAGAGAUACUCAGGGUGAGGUUUGGAAGGUGCACCAGGCCCACCCCAUGGAUGUGGCUCAGAGAGCC
rnacentral:lncRNA from 1 species